AUUGAACGCUGGCGGCAGGCCUAACACAUGCAAGUCGAACGGUAACAGGAAGAAGCUUGCUUCUUUGCUGACGAGUGGCGGACGGGUGAGUAAUGUCUGGGAAACUGCCUGAUGGAGGGGGAUAACUACUGGAAACGGUAGCUAAUACCGCAUAAUGUCGCAAGACCAAAGAGGGGGACCUUCGGGCCUCUUGCCAUCGGAUGUGCCCAGAUGGGAUUAGCUAGUAGGUGGGGUAACGGCUCACCUAGGCGACGAUCCCUAGAUGGUCUGAGAGGAUGACAAGCCACACUGGAACUGAGACACGGUCCAGACUCCUACGGGAGGCAGCAGUGGGGAAUAUUGCACAAUGGGCGCAAGCCUGAUGCAGCUAUGCCGCGUGUAUGAAGAAGGCCUUCGGGUUGUAAAGUACUUUCAGCGGGGAGGAAGGGAGUAAAGUUAAUACCUUUGCUCAUUGACGUUACCCGCAGAAGAAGCACCGGCUAACUCCGUG
rnacentral:rRNA from 1 species